rnacentral:lncRNA from 1 species
GGAAAGGUACUUCUAGUGCUCACAUCCGAGAAUAAUAGCUAUUGCUGGCUGACUCCGACCUGAUUAAGUCACCAGGCACAGUGCCUCGCCUCUCCAGGCCAAGACCAAAUCUGGACAAUACGGAGAAAAACAAAUACCAAGAGUUUUCGAAAGAAGAUGGUUCUCAGAUAAGGUAACUGUUGAGUCCAUCUCCUUGAAGAAGUCCGCUCUGCAGCCUUCCUCCGACUCGCUCCAGUACGAACUGGUCCCUCUAAGCCUGCGGCAUCAUCGUCAUCUGGAAUCCUCGAUUCACCAUCAUUCUGGGGAUUUCCUCCGCCGCUAUCUUGUGAUGAAGACGCCGUCUCCUGGUGCAGAGAAGACAGCGUUGAGCUCAGUCUGGGCGCUUGUAGCAAAGCAGUGGUUCUCCAGGUGUGGUCUCCAGGGCUGCAGCACCAGAAUCAUUGAAAAC